UACGUAGGGUGCGAGCGUUGUCCGGAAUUACUGGGCGUAAAGAGCUCGUAGGUGGUUUGUCGCGUUGGUUGUGAAAACCGGGGGCUUAACCCUCGGCGUGCGGGCGAUACGGGCAGGCUUGAGUGCUGCAGGGGAGACUGGAAUUCCUGGUGUAGCGGUGGAAUGCGCAGAUAUCAGGAGGAACACCGGUGGCGAAGGCGGGUCUCUGGGCAGUAACUGACGCUGAGGAGCGAAAGCGUGGGGAGCGAACAGG
rnacentral:rRNA from 1 species